rnacentral:rRNA from 1 species
UACGUAGGGGGCGAGCGUUGUCCGGAAUCAUUGGGCGUAAAGAGUGCGUAGGCGGCACGACAAGCGCGGGGUGAAAGGCGACGGCCUAACCGUCGUAAGCCCCGCGAACUGUCGUCCUUGAGUGCGGGAGGGGGAAGCGGAAUUCCUGGUGUAGCGGUGAAAUGCGUAGAGAUCAGGAGGAAUACCGGUGGCGAAGGCGGCUUCCUGGACCGUGACUGACGCUGAGGCACGAAAGCGUGGGGAGCAAACA